rnacentral:rRNA from 1 species
UAGGGAACUUCCACAAUGGACGCAAGUCUGAUGGAGCAACGCCGCGUGAGUGAAGAAGGUUUUCGGCCGUAAAGCUCUGUUGUUGGUGAAGAAGGAUAGAGGUAGUAACUGGCCUUUAUUUGACGGUAAUCAACCAGAAAGUCACGGCUAACUACGUGCCAGCAGCCGCGGUAAUACGUAGGUGGCAAGCGUUGUCCGGAUUUAUUGGGCGUAAAGCGAGCGCAGGCGGAAGAAUAAGUCUGAUGUGAAAGCCCUCGGCUUAACCGAGGAAUUGCAUCGGAAACUGUUUUCUUGAGUGCAGAAGAGGAGAGUAGAACUCCAUGUGUAGCGGUGGAAUGCGUAGAUAUAUGGAAGAAUACCAGUGGCGAAGGCGGCUCUCUGGUCUGCAACUGACGCUGAGGCUCGAAAGCAUGGGUAGCGAACAGGAUUAGAUACCCUGGUAGUCCAUGCCGUAAACGAUGAGUGCUAAGUGUUGGGAGGCUUCCGCCUCUCAGUGCUGCAGCUAACGCAUUAAGCACUCCGCCUGGGGGAGUACGACCGC